AAUAUCCUGGACGAUUCAAUGGUUCCAGAUAAAAUAAUGUUCGAGGACAACCGAAAGAUUGAGAUAUAUAGAAUAUAGAAUAUAGGAUAUGGAGACCCAAAGUUAACAAGAACCCUCCAAGAAAAAAUGGCUGAAUGGCGUAGUGUAUUCAAGUGUUGUCGUUGCUAUUUAUAUAGGUUGCACUCGAUACAUUUUGUCUCAAAGGACUAUUAUGCAGCUUAAAAAAAGCCAACAUGCAAGUAGACUGGUAUGUGCUGCAAUGACAAACAAAAAAUAUACAGUAUCUGCAAUAUUUGAAUACCCAGAUAUCCAGUCAGCAGCUGUAAAAACCAAGAUGACUAAAAUAUGUGAAGAUACAAGGCGCUCCAUGUCAAAGGGAAUGGAUACAGCAGCUAAUGUUUAACAACAGGCGCUUAAUGUGCAAUAAUUUUUUAAUUUUAAAUUGUAAUUGUAAUUAUCUUUGCUAAAGGUAACUUAGCAAAGUGUUGUAAUUUAAUUUUAUAAAAG